rnacentral:rRNA from 1 species
GAAACUCGGGCUAAUACCGCAUACGACCGAGAGGUGAAAGGGGGCCGCAAGGCUCUCACUGAAGGAGGGGUCCGCGUUCGAUUAGCUAGUUGGUAGGGUAGUGGCCUACCAAGGCGACGAUCGAUAGCCGGCCUGAGAGGGUGAUCGGCCACACUGGAACUGAGACACGGUCCAGACUCCUACGGGAGGCAGCAGUGGGGAAUUUUGCGCAAUGGGCUAACGCCUGACGCAGCAACGCCGCGUGGAGGAUGAAGGUCUUUGGAUUGUAAACUCCUGUCAGCAGGGAAAAAGGGACCCGACCUCAUACGUCGGGAACUUGAUUGUACCUGCAGAGGAAGCCCCGGCUAACUCUGUGCCAGCAGCCGCGGUAAUACAGAGGGGGCAAGCGUUAUUCGGAAUUAUUGGGCGUAAAGGGCGCGUAGGCGGCCAUUCAAGUGACGGGUGAAAGCCCUCGGCUUAACCGAGGAACUGCCUGUCAGACUGGAUGGCUUGAGACCGGGAGAGGUGAGUGGAAUUCCCAGUGUAGCGGUGAAAUGCGUAGAUAUUGGGAGGAACACCAGUGGCGAAGGCGGCUCACUGGACCGGAACUGACGCUGAGGCGCGAAAGCGUGGGGACA